rnacentral:rRNA from 1 species
AACCAACUGGGAUUACCUUAGUAACGGCGAGUGAAGCGGUAAAAGCUCAAAUUUGAAAUCUGGUACUUUCAGUGCCCGAGUUGUAAUUUGUAGAAUUUGUCUUUGAUUAGGUCCUUGUCUAUGUUCCUUGGAACAGGACGUCAUAGAGGGUGAGAAUCCCGUUUGGCGAGGAUACCUUUUCUCUGUAAGACUUUUUCGAAGAGUCGAGUUGUUUGGGAAUGCAGCUCAAAGUGGGUGGUAAAUUCCAUCUAAAGCUAAAUAUUGGCGAGAGACCGAUAGCGAACAAGUACAGUGAUGGAAAGAUGAAAAGAACUUUGAAAAGAGAGUGAAAAAGUACGUGAAAUUGUUGAAAGGGAAGGGCAUUUGAUCAGACAUGGUGUUUUUUGCAUGCACUCGCCUCUCGUGGGCUUGGGCCUCUCAAAAAUUUCACUGGGCCAACAUCAAUUCUGGCAGCAGGAUAAAUCAUUAAGAACGUAGCUACCUCGGUAGUGUUAUAGCUUUUUGGAAUACUGCUAGCUGGGAUUGAGGACUGCGCUUCGGCAAGGAUGUUGGCAUAAUGGUUAAAUGCCGCCCGUCUUGAAACA